UUCUAACUGGAGUGUCGACACACAUCCUUUGCACAUGUCCAAACCAUCUCAAUUUCGCUUCUCUUAUCAUGUCUGCUACAAAGUUUACUUUCACCUUCUCCCGAAUAACAUCAUUCAUAAUCUUGUCACUCUUAAUAUGUCCAUAGAUCCAUCUCAAUAUCCUCAUUUUUAUAAUAUAUAUUUUUUGAACAUUAGAUUUCUAAACUGUCUAAUGCUCGACCCCAUAUAACAAAAACGAUUUAACCAUCAUUCCGCAGAAGAUACUUGAAUCUAUUAUGCAUAACACAUUAUUCUAUAUUAUCGUGGCUAUUUUCACGGUUGGAACCCAUUUGAUCAGAAGCUAUGGGCCAUUAUUAGUGGUAUCAUCAUCAUCUCCUUAGCAUCUCUCCUCAUCCCCUUUUCCCAACAAACCGACAAACCAUAGUUGAUCAGAUUGAACUUUGCAUAUCUCCUUCUCUCUUUCUCACACCAAAAUAUCUCAUUCUUCCCAAAUUGAAAACACCCAAAUCUCUGAAAUCUUGCAAAAACGCCCAAAUCCAUGCCAAUUCCGAUUCAAAAUCAAGAAACUAAACCGAAAAGAUUGAUUUCCCUAUUCAUAAAAUGCGUAAUCAUGGCUUUAUUCCUAUCCCUUUUCUUGAUUUUCCUUCUUUUUCUCGGUUUUGCUGCCCUUGUCCUUCUCCACUUCUUAAUCACCUCCACCGCCUUCCACCGCCGUCAUCGCCGUCGCAACCACCACCACCGAUUUCCGGCGAACCCAACAUCCUCGUUUGAUCUGCCUUGUGUGAUUUAUUGUGGGUCACAGCAAUCUUUUAGGGAUUGUGCGAUUUGCUUGGAGGGAUUCAAGGAUGGAGAAUUUUGCAGGAAAUUGCCUGAUUGUGGACACCUUUUUCAUGUGAAAUGUGUGGAUUCUUGGCUUACAAGGGUUUUGAAUUGCCCUAUUUGUCGGACCCGGGUUCGGGUCGAUUCGGGCAAUUCGGGUUCUGUUAUUAGUGAUGAAGAUUGGAAGAGAUGGUGGGCUGUUGGUGUUUCAGGGUAGCUGAAAUUUCUGCAUUUUGGGGUUGAAUUGAAACAAGAAACCACAAAACAGGACACAAAGUAGUACAAGUUAGAGGAGCAAAAGAUAUGCUGAUACCAAGAGGAGAAUGAUGGAGAGGAAGUGCAACGAUUUGCUUACCCCGUGAACUUAUGGAGGUUUGAAUCAAUGACUUCUGAUGUGAAUUUCACUGCGUAAAACAACAUGAACUGUAGUUUCCUUCAUGUUUCUUUUAGUGUAGUUUCUUCCCAAAUUAAUGAUUUGGAGAUGAUCAUAUGUAUAAAUGUAAUUGCAUGCUUAUUUUAGUUGAUCGCAAAACAUAAAUUUUUGCCUUAAAACUGUGUAUUGUACAUGGAUGAGUUUUGCACUUUUC